UAAACUUCCAUCCUUCAGUCUGCUCAACGGUCUUAAACUGCGAAUGGAUCA
rnacentral:sRNA from 1 species